rnacentral:rRNA from 1 species
CUGGGGCGCUAUCCCUAUAAUGCAAGUCGAGCGCAGGAAGCAAGCGGAUCCCCUUCGGGGGUGACGCUUGUGGAAUGAGCGGCGGACGGGUGAGUAACACGUGGGCAACCUGCCUGUAAGACUGGGAUAACCCCGGGAAACCGGGGCUAAUACCGGGUAAUACCUGACUCCGCAUGGAGUCGGGUUGAAAGAUGGCUUCUCGCUAUCACUUACAGAUGGGCCCGCGGCGCAUUAGCUAGUUGGUGAGGUAACGGCUCACCAAGGCGACGAUGCGUAGCCGACCUGAGAGGGUGAUCGGCCACACUGGGACUGAGACACGGCCCAGACUCCUACGGGAGGCAGCAGUAGGGAAUCUUCCGCAAUGGACGAAAGUCUGACGGAGCAACGCCGCGUGAACGAUGAAGGUCUUCGGAUCGUAAAGUUCUGUUGUCAGGGAAGAACAAGUACCGUGCGAAUAGAGCGGUACCUUGACGGUACCUGACCAGAAAGCCACGGCUAACUACGUGCCAGCAGCCGCGGUAAUACGUAGGUGGCAAGCGUUGUCCGGAAUUAUUGGGCGUAAAGCGCGCGCAGGCGGUUUCUUAAGUCUGAUGUGAAAGCCCCCGGCUCAACCGGGGAGGGUCAUUGGAAACUGGGGAACUUGAGUACAGAAGAGGAGAGUGGAAUUCCACGUGUAGCGGUGAAAUGCGUAGAUAUGUGGAGGAACACCAGUGGCGAAGGCGACUCUCUGGUCUGUAACUGACGCUGAGGCGCGAAAGCGUGGGGAGCGAACAGGAUUAGAUACCCUGGUAGUCCACGCCGUAAACGAUGAGUGCUAGGUGUUAGGGGGCUUCCACCCCUUAGUGCUGAAGUUAACGCAUUAAGCACUCCGCCUGGGGAGUACGGCCGCAAGGCUGAAACUCAAAGGAAUUGACGGGGGCCCGCACAAGCGGUGGAGCAUGUGGUUUAAUUCGAAGCAACGCGAAGAACCUUACCAGGUCUUGACAUCUUCGGACCACCCUGAGACAGGGUUUUCCCUUCGGAGACCGAAUGACAGGUGGUGCAUGGUGUCGUCAGCUCGUGUCGUGAGAUGUUGGG